CUCUGGCAGCAGCCAGGCCGAUGGAGGCCACUGCUUUGUUCCAGGGACCCCCCUGGAUUCGGAGCAGGAGGAAGGGGUGCACAUGGCCAAAGAUGAAGCUGCUCUCAAGGUCAUCCGAGAGCAGCUCCAGUGCAGAGAUAAGGAUGAGGGACAGCAGCUCCUGUUCCUUCAGGCCAUCUACCCCGCAUGUCUG